GACGAACGCUGGCGGCGUGCUUAACACAUGCAAGUCGAACGGAAAGGCCCUGCUUUUGUGGGGUGCUCGAGUGGCGAACGGGUGAGUAACACGUGAGUAACCUGCCCUUGACUUUGGGAUAACUUCAGGAAACUGGGGCUAAUACCGGAUAGGAGCUCCUGCUGCAUGGUGGGGGUUGGAAAGUUUCGGCGGUUGGGGAUGGACUCGCGGCUUAUCAGCUUGUUGGUGGGGUAGUGGCUUACCAAGGCUUUGACGGGUAGCCGGCCUGAGAGGGUGACCGGCCACAAUGGGACUGAGAUACGGCCCAGACGCGUACGGGAGGCAGCAGUGGGGAAUAUUGCACAAUGGGCGGAAGCCUGAUGCAGCAACGCCGCGUGCGGGAUGACGGCCUUCGGGUUGUAAACCGCUUUCGCCUGUGACGAAGCGGGAGUGACGGUAAUGGGUAAAGAAGCACCGGCUAACUACGUG
rnacentral:rRNA from 1 species